rnacentral:rRNA from 1 species
UAAAGAUUCAUCGGCUGCGGAUGGCCAUGCGGCGCAUUAGCUAGUCGGCGGGGUAACGGCCCACCGAGGCGACGAUGCGUAGGGGUUCUGAGAGGAAGGUCCCCCACACUGGUACUGAGACACGGACCAGACUCCUACGGGAGGCAGCAGUGAGGAAUAUUGGUCAAUGGCCGGGAGGCUGAACCAGCCAAGUCGCGUGAGGGAAGACGGCCCUACGGGUUGUAAACCUCUUUUGUCAGGGAGCAAGAGGCGGGUCGAGACCUGCUGUGAGAGUACCUGAAGAAAAAGCAUCGGCUAACUCCGUGCCAGCAGCCACGGUAAUACGGAGGAUGCGAGCGUUAUCCGGAUUUAUUGGGUUUAAAGGGUGCGCAGGCGGAGGCACAAGUCAGCGGUAAAAUCGCGGGGCUCAACCCCGCUCCGCCGUUGAAACUGUGUCCCUUGAGUGCGCGAAGGGUAGGCGGAAUGCGUGGUGUAGCGGUGAAAUGCAUAGAUAUCACGCAGAACUCCGAUCGCGAAGGCAGCCUACCGGCGCGCAACUGACGCUCAUGCACGAAAGCGUGGGUAUCGAACAGGAUUAGAUACCCUGGUAGUCCACGCAGUAAACGAUGAAUGCUAUCUGUCCGGCCGGAAUGACGGCUGG